rnacentral:rRNA from 1 species
GACGAACGCUGGCGGCGUGCCUAAUACAUGCAAGUCGAACGCAGUGGGGACGGGUGAGUAACACGUGGGUAACCUCCCAUCAGAGGGGAUAACACUUGGAAACAGGUGCUAAACCGAUACUGAUGGAUGGACCCGCGGUGCAUUAGCUAGUUGGUGAGGUAACGGCUCACCAAGGCCACGAGGCAUAGCCGACAUGGUGUGGUGAUAGGCAACCCUGGGAUGUAGCAACGGCCCAGACUCCUACGGGAGGUAGCAGUAUGUAAUCGUCGGUAAGUGACGAAAGUCUGACCGAGCAACGCCGCGUAAGUGAAGAAGGUGUUCGGAUCGUAAAACUCUGUUGUUAGAGAAGCGGUAUCUAACCAGAAAGCCACGGCUAACUACGUGCCAGCAGCCGCGGUAAUUC